GGCUGAGUCCUGACUUCUAAGUGAACACAAGCCCUGGGAUGCGGAGAGCAGGACAGAUGCUGAGGCGUCAGUUCUCCACCUGUGAAGUGAGGAAGUCGACUCACCUUUGAAGACUGUGCUGAAUACUGAGGAGAACAGUGCUCAGGCACAGGAGCACAGCAAGUGUCCAGUGAUGGAUGAGUGGCAGUCGCACUUAUUCUGACAGGACUGGCGCAAGGAAAGAGAUCUUGACAUAUACAGAUUCUGGCUGGUGUGAAGGGGGCAUUCCAAGGGAGCUAUGGUGCAUUACUCACAAGUGACAGAAACCAACGAGCUUCGCCUCCCAAGGGGCUAGUGCAUCCGUUUAAAGGGAGCAAGCGCCAUGCAGAUCCGCCCCCGCCGCGUCCCCAGCAGAGAGCAGGGUGGAGUUUUGUGUGUGAACUGACAACCCAAGAAGAGGGGCAUUCCGGUCAGUGCCUGCCUUGUCUCACAGCUGGAUCUCACGAUGCACAUCUGGAGCGCAGCCGCAAAACGCUCCUAUGCGGUGUCUGUGCUCACGUGAAAAGCAGACUCAAAUGGACCAGUACUGUUUCAGCAAAUACUGUGAAGCUUCUGAUAUGGGCCAGGAAUUUUGAAAACGGAGUCUAG
rnacentral:lncRNA from 1 species